rnacentral:lncRNA from 1 species
UGAGUAAUGACCAUAUCUAUCGAAUAUUUAUCGAAUGUUGUGCAUGCUUAUGUAUUGCUAACAAUACAGUUGAUUACCAAUAUUGUGAUUGCAGAUGAUCUGGUUGACUGAGAUGGCAUGAGAUAUAUGUACUCUAUUGAUAUGGGUGGUUGGCCACUCCAUUUAGUUGAUUGUCCAUAGCAGGAUGUCGGAUAAUUGUUAUAAUCAUUUAUUUAUGUUAAGAUACAUCUGUGUGAAUUUAAUUUCAUCAUAUCAGUUAUUUGCUUUAUUGACUGUGAGCAUAAAAUAAUUUUUUUGUAGGUCUGAUGUGCCAUAUAUAUUAUGCAUUUUAUGGAGAGUCUGAUGAUGGGGCGGAAGAUCACAAUUAUAGAUGCUCGUAUUUCAGAAUUACAUGUCAGAUAUACUGCAUAGGUGAUCGUGAAGGGUUGCGAGUUGAGAACGCCCUAGUUUGUGCUAUUGCUAUCAUGGAUGUAUUAUGAAUAUUUUGUAUGAAUCCUGUGAAUAUUUUGUAUAAAUUCAUAAUAGUACAUUCAAAAAUUUGUAUUCAAAUUUAUAUUCUAUUAUUAGUAGC